rnacentral:rRNA from 1 species
AGAACCCCGGCGAGGGGAGUGAAAAAGAACCUGAAACCGUGUACGUACAAGCAGUGGGAGCCCCACCACUAAGCCAGUGGUGAACUCCACAUACGCAUCCUUUGCUGAGGAUACGGUUAACGGAGCGCAAGCGACGUUCAACCUCAAAAGAAGCAGAGGGGGCUUAGUGGUGGGGUGACUGCGUACCUUUUGUAUAAUGGGUCAGCGACUUAUAUUCUGUAGCAAGGUUAACCGAAUAGGGGAGCCGGAGGGAAACCGAGUCUUAAUUGGG